CUUUGAUCCUGGCUCAGGAUGAACGCUGGCGGCGUGCCUAAUACAUGCAAGUCGAACGAAACUUCUUUAUCACCGAGUGCUUGCACUCACCGAUAAAGAGUUGAGUGGCGAACGGGUGAGUAACACGUGGGCAACCUGCCCGAAAGAGGGGGAUAACACUUGGAAACAGGUGCUAAUACCGCAUAACCAUGAACACCGCAUGGUGUUUAUGUGAAAGGUGGUUUCGGCUACCGCUUUCGGAUGGGCCCGCGGCGCAUUAGCUAGUUGGUGGGGUAAAGGCUUACCAAGGCAAUGAUGCGUAGCCGAACUGAGAGGUUGAUCGGCCACAUUGGGACUGAGACACGGCCCAAACUCCUACGGGAGGCAGCAGUAGGGAAUCUUCCACAAUGGGCGAAAGCCUGAUGGAGCAACGCCGCGUGGGUGAAGAAGGUCUUCGGAUCGUAAAACCCUGUUGUCAGAGAAGAAAGUGCAUGAGAGUAACUGUUCAUGUUUCGACGGUAUCUGACCAGAAAGCCACGGCUAACUACGUGCCAGCAGCCGCGGUAAUACGUAGGUGGCAAGCGUUAUCCGGAUUUAUUGGGCGUAAAGGGAACGCAGGCGGUCUUUUAAGUCUGAUGUGAAAGCCUUCGGCUUAACCGGAGUAGUGCAUUGGAAACUGGGAGACUUGAGUGCAGAAGAGGAGAGUGGAACUCCAUGUGUAGCGGUGUAAUGCGUAGAUAUAUGGAAGAACACCAGUGGCGAAAGCGGCUCUCUGGUCUGUAACUGACGCUGAGGUUCGAAAGCGUGGGUAGCAAACAGGAUUAGAUACCCUGGUAGUCCACGCCGUAAACGAUGAAUGCUAAGUGUUGGAGGGUUUCCGCCCUUCAGUGCUGCAGUUAACACAAUAAGCAUUCCGCCUGGGGAGUACGACCGCAAGGUUGCAACUCAAAUGAAUUGACGGA
rnacentral:rRNA from 1 species